rfam:Fukomys damarensis contig159838, whole genome shotgun sequence.
AGAUGUGAGGGUGAUCUGGCUUCAAUAUCUGUCACCCCACUGAGUGCCAGGGUUGAUUCAGCUGAUUUGGCUGGUUAGGUGGGUAUCUCUUUCCUACCUCACCACUCUGUGUGCAUCCCUUCCGAAGCUGUAUGCUCAGUUGAAGAGGGGAACCCUCCCCUACACCCAUAGAGGAGGACCAUUUCCAAGGUCAGGGUUAUAUGGGUACCUUCGCUCCCUUGCUAGAACCUCCAAACAAGCUCUCAAGAAAGGUGUCUUUUUGAGCAGGCAUGGUAGUGCACACCUGUAAUCCCAGCAUUUGGAGGUCGAGGCAGGAGGAUCAUUGUGA